rnacentral:rRNA from 1 species
UACAGAGGGGGCUAGCGUUAUUCGGAAUUAUUGGGCGUAAAGGGCGCGUAGGCGGCCAUGCGUGUCUUCCGUGAAAUCCCUCGGCUUAACUGAGGACGUGCGGAAGAAACUGCAAGGCUCGAGUCCGGGAGAGGGGGGUGGAAUUCCCAGUGUAGCGGUGAAAUGCGUAGAUAUUGGGAGGAACACCGGUGGCGAAGGCGGCCCCCUGGACCGGAACUGACGCUGAGGCGCGAAAGCCAGGGGAGCAAAGCGGG